AUGCUCACUUUGGCAGCACAUAUACUAAAAUUGGACUGAUACAGAGAAGAUUAGGAUGGCCCCCGCAUAAAGAUAACACACAAAUUUGGAAAGCGUUCCAUAUUUUU
rnacentral:snRNA from 1 species